AUGAACGCUGGCGGCGUGCCUAAUACAUGCAAGUCGAGCGAACAGACGAGGAGCUUGCUCCUCUGACGUUAGCGGCGGACGGGUGAGUAACACGUGGAUAACCUACCUAUAAGACUGGGAUAACUUCGGGAAACCGGAGCUAAUACCGGAAAAUAUAUUGAACCGCAUGGUUCAAUAGUGAAAGACGGUUUUGCUGUCACUUAUAGAUGGAUCCGCGCCGCAUUAGCUAGUUGGUAAGGUAACGGCUUACCAAGGCAACGAUGCGUAGCCGACCUGAGAGGGUGAUCGGCCACACUGGAACGGAGACACGGUCCAGACUCCUACGGGAGGCAGCAGUAGGGAAUCUUCCGCAAUGGGCGAAAGCCUGACGGAGCAACGCCGCGUGAGUGAUGAAGGUCUUCGGAUCGUAAAACUCUGUUAUUAGGGAAGAACAAAUGUGUAAGUAACUAUGCACGUCUUGACGGUACCUAAUCAGAAAGCCACGGCUAACUACGUG
rnacentral:rRNA from 1 species